ensembl:lncRNA
UAUCAACACCAUCCAUCAUCCAUCUUUGCCUGCUCGUUCGCCCUUACAUCAGCCCUCUCGCUCCACACACCUGCCUCCCUGCCAGCUGCGUGUGUCCCCUUUACCCCUCAGAGCUUUCACCCAACUUCUAACACAGCAACCACUAUCCGCGUUUCACUUUUUCAUUGCCCCCCCCCCUCUGUAUAUCUUGGCCUAGUUUGUAAACUUAUCCAGUUAACUCAAGCUGUGUGUGCUUUUGAUUUAAGGGUCCAAUCCGGGCUGCUGGUCCUCGGAUCGUUAGUAGUUGUUCCACUCGCUGGAUGUGUCAUGAGGGCCUUGUGGUCUUUAGCGAAUAAUGCAUCUCAAACUUGGAAGGCUGAGCAUUAAUCAUUGACGUGUCCACCGUCCUCUGUGGCUCUAUCUGCUGCUGCUCCUUCCUGGCUUGCCGCAAAGUCAACGGAUACUGACAAGUGAAAUGAAGGGCAUUGUUUUCCUCUCAUUUCUUCUUUCUUGACUAUGUAAGAAGUAUUCAGGUCGAAUGUAUUUUGGUUGUCAAAUCGGACAAAGCAGGAGUCUGACUGAGCUCCGGUAAUAUAGCAUGUCCCAAAACUAGCCUGACAAAAUAUUAAAGCACGAUUGAGGACAUUUUAGCCCCCUCAAAGUGACCCUUCAGGCCGCUAUUGUUCCCUCGUCAAUUUAGUUUUUGUACGAGCGUCUCCUUUCUUUCUUUGUUGCUUGUGGGGAAAAGAAAUUAUGCAAAUAUUCAUGAGAAAAAAUGUUGACAUCUACCAUCCUUGCUGCCCCCUAAACACACACACACACACACACACACACACACACACACACACACACAUCAUGCACAUACCAUUGAGCUCUCUUCUGGCCCACAUUGGUGAGUCUGUCUCUUUUGGCUGUCUCUCAAGUGUACUUUAGCCACAUUGCCUCGUCCUUUCUUCUAUCCAUUCUGGUCCAGGUGAGACUGGACAGGUGCUGAGACGGGAGCACAUCUUAAGUUUUGAGGAGAACACAGGAAGUUAGUUGGCGUGCGCUUUGAUUGGCCGUCUCCAUCGCUGCCACCUCUGCACAUGUUUGCGUUUCAAACACAGGGAAGCUGAGGCGGGGGAGGAUUUGAGGAUUUGAGUCUUUUGCCUCAAAGAGGAAACUUUAUAGAUGUAUUUUUUUUCUUCAUUUUUUCAGUGUACCAAUCAUUAGGGAUUUAAGAGAUAAAGAAGAGACCUGGAGACCGAGAGGGGCGGCCGGGGAAGCGGCUCAACCACAGGAUGAAUUAAAAUGAAUUAAAGCCAAGAAAUGGGAAAAUGGGCUAUCACUUGUGCAGCGUAAUGAACAAAGUGCAGAUACCGCUGCCGCUCUGUGCCGUCGGGGCUGGAGGCUCUAUGUUCUCACACUAGUCAAACAAAUGAAAGAGAAUGGAGCCGGAAAGCAUAAUGAUUGUCCAUUAGUCGGUCUCUAAACUCUGCUUCCCGUGGCCCUCCGAGCUGUGGGAACCCAUCACGUGACCUCCGUGCACCCCGAGCCGGCCCCGAUGGACCCGGUCACCCAACUCUCUGUGUAUCCCCCCCCAAGGUUGACCAUUGAGUCGGCCGUCAUCCAGAGGUUUAAGGGUUCUGAUACGAGUCCGACUAAAAGGCUUAAAAUUUGGAGGAAUAAAAAAAAAAAUUGUGGCACAGUCACAUGUUGAAGGAAAGAGAUAAAUGUCCAGUUACAUAGUGUGAGAUGACAUUGUGAAUUGAGUUAUUUCACUCGCAGUAAGAGAGCGCAUGAUUUACUUAAUUUAAUUUUUGUUAGUUAUAGUUAUG